rnacentral:rRNA from 1 species
GACGAACGCUGGCGGCGUGCUUAACACAUGCAAGUCGAGCGGAAAGGCCCUUUCGGGGGUACUCGAGCGGCGAACGGGUGAGUAACACGUGAGUAAUCUGCCUCUGGCUUCGGGAUAGCCACCGGAAACGGUGAUUAAUACCGGAUACGACGCAUCACUGCAUGGUGUGUGCGUGGAAAGUUUUUUCGGCCAGGGAUGUGCUCGCGGCCUAUCAGCUUGUUGGUGGGGUAAUGGCCUAACAAGGCUUCGACGGGUAGCCGGCCUGAGCGGGUGACCGGCCACACUGGGACUGAGACACGGCCCAGACUCCUACGGGAGGAAGCAGUGGGGAAUAUUGGACAAUGGGCGGAAGCCUGAUCCAGCAACGCCGCGUGAGGGAUGACGGCCUUCGGGUUGUAAACCUCUUUCAGCACAGACGAAGCGCAAGUGACGGUAUGUGCAGAAGAAGGACCGGCCAACUACGUGCCAGCCGCCGCCGUAACAC